rnacentral:rRNA from 1 species
AACGCAAAGACCCUUACCCCGGCUUGACAUGCAGAUGAUCGUUACAGAAAUGUAAUUUCCCUUCGGGGCAUCUGCCCAGGUGCUGCAUGGCUGUGCUCAGCUCCUGCCGUGAGGAGUUUGGUUAAGUCCAGCACCAAGCCCAACCCUUAUCUUUAGUUGCCAACACUUAGGGUGGGAACUCUAAUGAGACUGCCGGGGUUAACCAGGAGGAAGGUGAGGAUGACGUCAAGUCGUCAUGGCCCUUAUGUCUAGGGCUACACACGUGCUACAAUGGUCGGUACAGAAGGCAGCGAACCCGCGAGGCGGAGCAAAUCCCGAAAACCGAUCCCAAGUCAGAUUGGAUUCUGCCACUCGCCUACAUCAAGACGGAAUUGCUAAUAAUGAGUGGUCAUCAACAUCCCUCG